rnacentral:pre_miRNA from 1 species
GUACUGAAAGUGAGUAUUGGAGGAAAGCAAACUGGAAAUCCGUAUCAAAAGUGCUCAUGUUUUCCAGCUUGUUUUUCUCCAAUAUCUCACUUUCGCUCG